CGCGGCAGGUACUAGUGCAUUAUUAUAAGCUCGACGAUGAUGAUGAUGAUCCGGAUGAUAAUUUCGUUUUCUUUGUCUCAGGAUCCUCGUGCGUCUUUCGAGAAUCUCGGGAAACCUGGAGCACUGGAGGAAUUUGCUGAGCGUGUUGCCCAAAUUAGAAAAGAUCCUGAAGUUGAACCCAUUCUAGCUGAGUUAGACGCUUGUCCUGCUGCUCUCUUGAAGUUUGUGGAUGACAAACAAGUGUUGAAAAAGCUUGGAAAAUCAAUGCUUAGGUCUCAGGUAAAAGACCUCUCUGUCUCGUUUGGCAUUAUUGCUCAACGCUUUUAACUCACUACCCUUCCAACAGGGUCUGAACUAUGAUGAUGAUGAUGAAGAACUUGUCUCUGAGGGAAGAAAAGCCCUCAAGAUUGCUUUUGGGUAUGCCAAGGUACCUCUCUCGAUAAACUUUUUCAUGUCUUUACAAACUUUGACGUACUAACUAGGAGGCUGAUAAUCACUAUUAAUCUUAAUCUAUCGUCAAUUACAUGUCUUUUUAAUCACAGAUGAAAUGCUUCAAAGUUCUUCUGGAUGCUGAAAGGAAAAAGGCCAAUAAGGUUGAGAGGAAAAAGAAGACAACAUCUCAUCAUGCUUCUACAAGUGGAAAGACGAAGCGUUCAAGCCGUCUCUCCAACAAGUGUGAUGCUGUGUAAGCUUGCAACAUAACAAUAACUCUCUGUUUUAGAAAUGGUUAUGUCUUCUGUAUAUUCAUGUAUCGUUUUUUUGUUGUUUUUGUAGCGCACCAAAAACCUCAGAGAGUCAAAUUCCGACCACUGAGCUGGAUAAUACCAGCUCCAGGUGUUGAAGCUGAUUCAGAUGGACCCUUGCGCUUAAGGGAUGGAUCUAGAGUACUAUUACUAGGAUUUGUUAAUUUCAUUUUUUAAACUGCUUUAUAUUUUUCUUAAAAACUUGACAAUCCUAGAAACUUAUUGGUGGUUAUUUCAUCAAGAGGUAGUGGAAUAGUGAGAAGUAUAUCUAACUUUCUUCGACAUACCGCACCUGUAGACUCAAUUGCUACAUUCUCGAAUUUUGUUGAAAGCUUCCUAAUCCAUCUUGCCAAAUUUUGAUAUAAAAAUUAUGAUCACCUGUGUCAAAUGCAUCAAAAUUGAGAUGUCAACCAAUAAUAGUGUGUAAAUUAACUGAGGGUUAUGUGUGAUCCACGAUAAUGUGAAUAUUAAUAGAGGGUAACGUGUGAGCCACGACAAUGUCCUAUAAGGUAUAGGAAGUGAACGCUAUUAGAGAGCUCAAAAAUGGUGGAGGGCAGAGUUUAAUGUCGUUUGGUUUUUGUUAGCGAAUUUGUGUCUUGAGCCUUGUAGACAGUGUUUAGACAAUGCUUUUGCUUCCAUGAUUAUGGGAUCAACACAUUCAACAAAACAUUCUUAUCUCAUUCAAAACAAGAGAUAUAUUCUUUAAUUGACCAGAGCAACGAUCCAAUAGAAAAAGCAAUAAAAAAGUUUAAGUGGGUGUUAUUGAAUAGGAGGAAUUGGAAAGUAUUCAAAAUUAAGUAUUCAAGUACUUUGAUGGAAAAGAUAUUCAAUCCCCUUUCCUUCAAAAUAUUGAUAAAAGAUAGGAUAUGUUUUAGACUUUUAGUUAAAAGGAUACAAUGAAUUCUAUUAAAAUUUACUGAAUUCUAACAAAACUUAAAUAAUAUGACGUCAAAAAAAACAAAAUUUAAAUAAUAUUAAAUAAUAGAAGUUUUCAAUGAAUUUAAAUUCUAUAUUCUUUAAUUGACCAGAGCAACGAUCCAAUAGAAAAAGCAAUAAAAAAGUUUAAGUGGGUGUUAUUGAAUAGGAGGAAUUGGAAAGUAUUCAAAAUUAAGUAUUCAAGUACUUUGAUGGAAAAGAUAUUCAAUCCCCUUAAUUAAAAUUGUUGUUAGCUGGACUCGAACCCGUGCACUCGUGGUCCUAAGGGGGUUUUGCCACUGAGCUAGUGGACUUUUCGGAAGAUUAUCACACAUGUUUAUUUUUAUUGAUCAAAAGAUGUGUUUGAUUUCAAUCAAACAAAAUGAAACCCGUGUUUGAACGUAACCCUAAUUUCUCAAAUCGAUUUGGGUAUUUCUCUUGUAAUGGUGAGGAGAUGGUAAAGACGAAGUUCACAAGGAAUGGAAGGGAGGUAAUGAUUUUUGGAGCGAUGAGGAAUUUCGAUUCCGGGAGUGACGAAGAGUUCAAGAGUCGAAGAAGGGUGGAGAGCGCGAUGCUUCUGUGAGUUUGUCAUCGUCGGAGAGAUCGAGGAUUCGUAAAAGCGUUGAAGGGAUAUCGAUGUUGGCAUCUACAGAGGUGUCGAAGCCAUCGAAGACAAGGCGGGGAACUUCAUAUGGGUCGCCUGCGUCAUCUCCGGAGAAGACCAUGAGGAGGGGAACUUCAUAUGGGUCGCCAUCUCCGGUGAAGGCCACGAGGCGUGGUUCAACUCUGUCUCCUAGAGUUUCGAAGAAGCAGAAGGUAAAUGUGGCUCCUUCUGGUGAUGACAGAGAAGAAUGGCCAGAGACUGAGAUGUUGGCAUCAACAGUUGCGAAGAAGACAAGGCGGGGAACUUCAUAUGGCGGGUCGCCUGUGUCUCCUAGACAAUCGAAGAAGCAGAAGGUAAACUCGGAGAGGAGUCUAGGUGAUGAUGGUGAUGACAGAGAAGAAUUUCUCCAGAUUGAGGAAUUUGGGGAUAUAGGUGAUGAUGGUAGGGAAGAUGAGAACGGUAUUGCUGGCAUUGAGGAAGUUGGUUGUACAGAUUUGAGUCUUUAUUUUGGUGAUAAAGCAAAAAAUGAUGACUGUGAGGUUGAUGAAGACGAAGGCGAUGAUGAUGCAUGGGAUGAUGAUAAAAUCCCUGAUCCUCUGUCAUCAGAUGAUGAGAAUGAAGAGGAGAUGAGACCUGCGCAAGCUUACAGAGAAGACACUGAUCCAGAGGAGCUCCUUCAGCUAGGCAAGACAUUUUCAGAUGCUGAGGACUUCAAACAUGCUUGUCUGAGGUAUACCCUGAAAACCAGAUACAACAUCAAGUACUACAGAUCCAGUAGCUUGAAGAUGGGUGCAAAAUGUGCCGCUGAGAUGGAGAUGAUUAAGGGUAACUCUGUCAAAAUAAUGAUAUCUUUACUCCUAAUAUAUUUUUAAUUAUGACUUUUGGGAAACUUUUAAAAGAAGGAACCUAUAAAUAUCUUCUUUUCUGAAUUUCCUCUGCAAAUCCCUUCUUCGUCUUCCUCGUUCGAUUUGAGUUUCAAUAGGUAUAUAUCGUCUCCACCACCUGAAUAAAGUCUGUGUGGAUCUUUGUGAAUUUUUUUUUCUAGGGUUUUCAGACAGAUCAGGCGAUGGCUUCAUGUUCAGAGAGAACUCUUCCUUGUCCAGGUACUUUUGCUGUCUCGAUCUAAAGCGUACUAGUCAUAUGCGAUUCUUGUUUUGUUAAAGAUUGGGUGGUUUUGUUUCUUCUUCUCGGCAGAUUCGAGUAAAAUUACCUCGCCUGCCCUUAAAUUCGAUGCUUUGGAUUUCCCAGCCAUGAAGGCUAUGGAAGAUUUCGAGGUAACUUCUCUUUUCUUUUCAUUCUUACAUGUUUUGUUUUGGGUUAUUGAAAGGUUUCAUUCUUUUUUUUUUGUUGAUGGUUUAUUGUGUCUACUUGGCUUAAAACACCAGACUUGUGCGAGAGAACUUGGUGAGAAAAUGCGUGAGGAUCCUGCAUAUAUCCUGGAGCUUAGCAGAUGUAAUCCAGCCGCUAAGUUUGAUCAAGAACAGUUGAGCAACAUGGGGCAAAUGUUUCAGCGCCUUGAGGAUCACGCGCGGCAGGUACUAGUGCAUUAUUAUAAGCUCGACGAUGAUGAUGAUGAUCCGGAUGAUAAUUUCGUUUUCUUUGUCUCAGGAUCCUCGUGCGUCUUUCGAGAAUCUCGGGAAACCUGGAGCACUGGAGGAAUUUGCUGAGCGUGUUGCCCAAAUUAGAAAAGAUCCUGAAGUUGAACCCAUUCUAGCUGAGUUAGACGCUUGUCCUGCUGCUCUCUUGAAGUUUGUGGAUGACAAACAA
rnacentral:lncRNA from 1 species